UACAGAGGUGGCAAGCGUUGUUCGGAAUUACUGGGCGUAAAGGGCGCGUAGGCGGUUCGUUAAGUCCUGUGUGAAAUCCCCCGGCUCAACUGGGGAACUGCACAGGAAACUAGCGGGCUUGAGUUCGGGAGAGGGAAGCGGAAUUCCGGGUGUAGCGGUGAAAUGCGUAGAUAUCCGGAGGAACACCGGUGGCGAAGGCGACUUCCUGGACCGACACUGACGCUGAGGCGCGAAAGCUAGGGGAGCAAACGGG
rnacentral:rRNA from 1 species